AUUGAACGCUGGCGGCAGGCCUAACACAUGCAAGUCGAGCGAGCGGCGGACGGGUGAGUAAUGUCUGGGGAACUGCCUGAUGGAGGGGGAUAACUACUGGAAACGGUAGCUAAUACCGCAUACCCUCAGAUGUGCCCAUAUGGGAUUAGCUAGUAGGUGAGGUAAUGGCUCACCUAGGCGACGAGCCCUAGCUGGUCUGAGAGGAUGACCAGCCACACUGGGACUGAGACACGGGCCAGACUCCUACGGGAGGCAGCAGUGGGGAAUAUUGCACAAUGGGCGCAAGCCUGAUGCAGCCAUGCCGCGUGUGUGAAGAAGGCCUUAGGGUUGUAAAGCACUUUCAGCGGGGAGGCGUUACCCACAGAAGAAGCACCGGCUAACUCCGUGCCAGCAGCCGCGGUAAUAC
rnacentral:rRNA from 1 species